UACGGAGGGUGCGAGCGUUGUCCGGAAUCAUUGGGCGUAAAGGGCGCGUAGGUGGCGGGACAAGCGUGCGGUGAAAGCUUGGGGCUCAACCCCGAGUCGGCCGUGCGAACUGUCUUGCUUGAGCACUGUAGAGGCAGGCGGAAUUCCGGGUGUAGCGGUGGAAUGCGUAGAGAUCGGAAAGAACACCAACGGCGAAAGCACUCUGCUGGGCCGACACUGACACUGGAGAGACGAAAGCUAGGGGAGCGAAUGGG
rnacentral:rRNA from 1 species